AUGUUUUCUUCUUCCAUGACAGACAUAGCUUUGCUUCUCAUGGAUGUUUGCUUCUCGUGGAGGCAUAAAUUUGCUCCCGCGAGUGGCAUAACUGUGCCUGUUGAAAAGAAAAAAAAACACGUGUUUUUCCUCUACGAGAGGCAUAAUUGUGCCUCACGGAAAGGAAAAAACGUGUUCUUUUUUUUUGCGAGAGGCACAUAUUUUCUUUGGCGAGAAGCACAAAUGUGCCUCUCGAAAAUGGGAAAAAGUGAAAAAAAAUUUGUGUUUUCGGCUCGGUUUUUUCUUCUGGUUUUUCCUUUCUUUGUGAAAAAAUGGUUUGUCCAAACCUAUUAA
rnacentral:rRNA from 1 species